rnacentral:rRNA from 1 species
GACGAACCACACAAACGUUAUUCGGAAUUACUGGGCUUAAAGGGUGCGUAGGCUGCGCAGAAAGUUGGGUGUGAAAUACCUCGGCUUAACCGAGGAACUGCGCCCAAAACUACUGUGCUUGAGGAAGAUAGAGGUGAGCGGAACUUACGGUGGAGCGGUGAAAUGCGUUGAUAUCGUAAGGAACACCUGUGGCGAAAGCGGCUCACUGGGUCUUUUCUGACGCUGAUGCACGAAAGCUAGGGGAGCGAACGGG